rnacentral:rRNA from 1 species
GAUGAACGCUGGCGGCGUGCCUAAUACACGCAAGUCGAGCGAACGGACGAGAAGCUUGCUUCUCUGAUGUUAGCGGCGGACGGGUGAGUAACACGUGGAUAACCUACCUAUAAGACUGGGAUAACUUCGGGAAACCGGAGCUAAUACCGGAUGAUAUUUUGAACCGCAUGGUUCAAAAGUGAAAGACGGUCUUGCUGUCACUUAUAGAUGGAUCCGCGCUGCAUUAGCUAGUUGGUAAGGUAGCGGCUUACCAAGGCAACGAUGCAUAGCCGACCUGAGAGGGUGAUCGGCCACACUGGAACUGAGACACGGUCCAGACUCCUACGGGAGGCAGCAGUAGGGAAUCUUCCGCAAUGGGCGAAAGCCUGACGGAGCAACGCCGCGUGAGUGAUGAAGGUCUUCGGAUCGUAAAACUCUGUUAUUAGGGAAGAACAUAUGUGUAAGUAACUGUGCACAUCUUGACGGUACCUAAUCAGAAAGCCACGGCUAACUACGUG